rnacentral:misc_RNA from 1 species
GAAAUCUGAAGAUUAUUUGGCUCACCUCUUGGGGCAUGAGGGCAGAGGAAGCUUACAUUCCUUUCUCAAAGCUAAAGGAUGGGCCACAUCUUUGUCUGCUGGUGUUGGAGAAGAAGGAAUGCAUCGAUCAUCUGUAGCUUAUAUCUUUGGCAUGUCGAUACGUCUCACUGACUCUGGCUUAGAGAAGAUUUUUGAAAUCAUUGGCGUCAUUUAUCAAUACCU